GUACACUCCUACGGGAGGCAGCAGUGGGGAAUAUUGCACAAUGGGCGCAAGCCUGAUGCAGCCAUGCCGCGUGUAUGAAGAAGGCCUUCGGGUUGUAAAGUACUUUCAGCGGGGAGGAAGGCAAUACGGUUAAUAACCGUGUUGAUUGACGUUACCCGCAGAAGAAGCACCGGCUAACUCCGUGCCAGCAGCCGCGGUAAUACGGAGGGUGCAAGCGUUAAUCGGAAUUACUGGGCGUAAAGCGCACGCAGGCGGUCUGUCAAGUCGGAUGUGAAAUCCCCGGGCUCAACCUGGGAACUGCAUUCGAAACUGGCAGGCUUGAGUCUUGUAGAGGGGGGUAGAAUUCCAGGUGUAGCGGUGAAAUGCGUAGAGAUCUGGAGGAAUACCGGUGGCGAAGGCGGCCCCCUGGACAAAGACUGACGCUCAGGUGCGAAAGCGUGGGGAGCAAACAGGAUUAGAAACCCCGGUAGUCCC
rnacentral:rRNA from 1 species